GAUGAGCGCUGGCGGCGUGCCUAAUACAUGCAAGUCGAGCGAACAGACGAGGAGCUUGCUCCUCUGACGUUAGCGGCGGACGGGUGAGUAACACGUGGAUAACCUACCUAUAAGACUGGGAUAACUUCGGGAAACCGGAGCUAAUACCGGAUAAUAUAUUGAACCGCAUGGUUCAAUAGUGAAAGACGGUUUUGCUGUCACUUAUAGAUGGAUCCGCGCCGCAUUAGCUAGUUGGUAAGGUAACGGGUUACCAAGGCAACGAUGCGUAGCCGACCUGAGAGGGUGAUCGGCCACACUGGAACUGAGACACGGUCCAGACUCCUACGGGAGGCAGCAGUAGGGAAUCUUCCGCAAUGGGCGAAAGCCUGACGGAGCAACGCCGCGUGAGUGAUGAAGGUCUUCGGAUCGUAAAACUCUGUUAUUAGGGAAGAACAAAUGUGUAAGUAACUAUGCACGUCUUGACGGUACCUAAUCAGAAAGCCACGGCUAACUACGUG
rnacentral:rRNA from 1 species